AUGCUGAAAAAUGCAGGAGCUCAUCUGAUUGUGACUUCCUCUCUGCUCUGCUCUGCUCUCUCUCUCUCUCUCUCUCUCUCUCUAUGUCUCUCUUUCUCUCUCUAUGUGUCUCUCUCUCUAUGUGUCUCUUUCUCUCUCUAUGUCUCUCUUUCUCUCUCUAUGUCUCUCUUUCUCUGUGUCUCUUUCUCUCUCUAUGUCUCUCUUUCUCUGUGUCUCUUCUCUCCCUAUGUGUCUCUUUCUCUCUCUGUGUCUCUCUAUGUGUCUCUUUCUCUCUCUGUGUCUCUCUAUGUGUCUCUUUCUCUCUCUGUGUCUCUCUAUGUGUCUCUCUCUAUGUGUCUCUCUCUCUAUGUGUCUCUCUCUCUAUGUGUCUCUCUCUAUGUGUCUCUCUCUAUGUGUCUCUCUCUCUAUGUCUCUCUCUAUGUGUCUCUCUCUCUCUAUGUGUCUCUCUCUAUGUGUCUCUCUCUCUCUAUGUGUCUCUCUCUAUGUGUCUCUCUCUCUCUCUAUGUGUCUCUCUCUCUAUGUGUCUCUCUCUCUCUAUGUGUCUCUCUCUCUCUAUGUGUCUCUCUCUAUGUGUCUCUCUCUAUGUGUCUCUCUCUAUGUGUCUCUCUCUCUAUGUGUCUCUCUCUCUAUGUGUCUCUCUCUAUGUGUCUCUCUCUAUGUGUCUCUCUCUCUAUGUGUCUCUCUCUCUAUGUGUCUCUCUCUAUGUGUCUCUCUCUAUGUGUCUCUCUCUAUGUGUCUCUAUGUGUCUCUCUCUAUGUGUCUCUCUCUAUGUGUCUCUCUAUGUGUCUCUCUAUGUGUCUCUAUGUGUCUCUAUGUGUCUCUCUCUAUGUGUCUCUCUCUAUGUGUCUCUCUCUAUGUGUCUCUCUCUAUGUGUCUCUCUAUGUGUCUCUCUCUCUAUGUCUCUCUCUCUCUCUCUAUGUGUCUCUCUCUCUCUAUGUGUCUCUCUCUCUCUCUCUUAUGUGUCUCUCUCUCUAUGUGUCUCUCUCUAUGUGUCUCUCUCUGUGUCUCUCUAUGUGUCUCUAUGUGUCUCUCUCUAUGUGUCUCUCUCUAUGUGUCUCUCUAUGUGUCUCUCUCUGUGUCUCUCUCUCUAUGUCUCUCUCUCUCUCUCUCUAUGUGUGUCUCUCUCUCUCUAUGUGUCUCUCUCUCUCUCUCUAUGUGUCUCUCUCUCUCUCUCUAUGUGUCUCUCUCUCUCUCUCUAUGUCUCUCUCUAUGUGUCUCUCUCUCUCUAUGUGUCUCUCUCUCUAUGUGUCUCUCUCUAUGUGUCUCUCUCUCUCUCUAUGUGUCUCUCUCUAUGUGUCUCUCUCUAUGUGUGUCUCUCUCUGUGUGUCUCUCUCUCUAUGUGUCUCUCUCUCUAUGUGUCUCUCUCUAUGUGUCUCUCUCUAUGUGUCUCUCUCUAUGUGUCUCUCUCUAUGUGUCUCUCUAUGUGUCUCUCUCUAUGUGUGUCUCUCUAUGUGUCUCUCUCUAUGUGUCUCUCUCUCUAUGUGUCUCUCUCUAUGUGUCUCUCUCUAUGUGUGUCUCUCUCUAUGUCUCUCUCUCUCUAUGUGUCUCUCUCUAUGUGUCUCUCUAUGUGUCUCUCUCUAUGUGUCUCUCUCUAUGUGUCUCUCUCUAUGUGUCUCUCUCUAUGUGUCUCUCUAUGUGUCUCUCUCUAUGUGUCUCUCUCUGUGUGUCUCUCUCUAUGUGUCUCUCUCUAUGUGUCUCUCUCUAUGUGUCUCUCUAUGUGUCUCUCUCUAUGUGUCUCUCUCUAUGUGUCUCUCUAUGUGUCUCUCUAUGUGUCUCUCUCUCAACUGGAAAACAAUGAGGCUACUCCUUUUCAAACCACAUUCAAAUAAACUGGGCCUUUAUUAUUAUUAUGAAAGGAACAUUGGGGAUACGUCCCACAUAGGCCUAGUCAAAAAGUAG
rnacentral:lncRNA from 1 species